rnacentral:rRNA from 1 species
UCGAGGAUCUUCGGCAAUGGGCGCAAGCCUGACCGAGCGACGCCGCGUGGGCGACGAAGGCCUUCGGGUUGUAAAGCCCUGUCGAGGGGGAGAAAAUUUUGAUCUAUCCCUGGAGGAAGCACGGGCUAAGUUCGUGCCAGCAGCCGCGGUAAGACGAACCGUGCGAACGUUGUUCGGAAUCACUGGGCUUAAAGGGCGCGUAGGCGGGCCGCCAAGUCCGCGGUGAAAUCCCCCGGCUCAACCGGGGAACUGCCGCGGAUACUGGAGGUCUCGAGGGGGGUAGGGGCAUGCGGAACUGCGGGUGGAGCGGUGAAAUGCGUUGAUAUCCGCAGGAACUCCGGUGGUGAAGGCGGCGUGCUGGACCCUUUCUGACGCUGAGGCGCGAAAGCCAGGGGAGCGAACGG